CAUAAGAUUUGCCUUAAAAGUAAUAAUAAUAAUAAAAGAAAAACCAGUAAAAGGUAUGAUUUUUGCUAAACGGCUACCAAAACCUGAAGUCAAUAUUUUCACAAGUGUUUUCUCUGGCAUUUUAAGUAUCUGAGAAAUCCACAGCAUGUGUCUCCCUUUAUGGCGAGGACAGGAAUUAUACUCCCAAGACUAUACAAAGUGCCCCCUCUAUGGGACUUCUCCCACAGCUGUGUGCGGCCAGGAGAGCCCCGCUUUGCUCCGUGGAACAAAAUUUGCAGAACCGUAAAUGUUUUAUUCACGGGACUUGAAUCCUCCUCACUUGUGCAAUGCAGCCUUCAGCUACAAGGAAAACGAAAGUCUUGAAAAUAUUCAAGAAAAUAACUGCAAGCUGUGCUGUAUGGCAGCACAGCUGGCCCUUUGGCUUCUUUUCUGAGCAACGUCCAACAAGGUUAAGCACGAGAAGCCCAGAAAGUGCGCGCAGGAGUACAAUAGCUACAGGACAGCCUACAAGCAGGCUGCUCACAUUUCAGGAAACCGACAUGCAGCACGACACCCAGCCUGAUGAAAGCACCGAGAGGCUGCUAGGAAGUCUCCCGACCAUCAGCCGCUGUCCUGCAGGCACCGAAACGCUGUGAAGUAAGAGCAGAUAGAAAGGAGCCCGCCAGCCUUCAGGUUGCAGGGGUCAGCUUUACAGCCCCAGUCCCUGACAGCUGCAAAUCUACCUAACCCCGGCCUCGUGCUUAGUCCUUAACAACGCGCCAUCAGUAGCAUUCCAGCGUGGGCACUAAGCAAAUCUCUCCUUUGUGGAUCACUUGCAACCAGGAGGAGUAGGACACUAGAGUUUUUUCUUCCCACCACAUCAAUGGUCCAUGAAAAGGCCGCUCGGUCUCUAAUCCCCUCCUCUCUUCAGACUGGGGCUGCCCGUACCUGCUGCUGGGAGAGGCCGAUCCAUCUGCUGGCAGGUUUUCUAUCUUUGAGAGCGAUCCCAUGCUAAGGGGGUGCAAUGAGAAGUAAGCCGUCUUCACCAGGACACGUGCCAGGAGCACUGGCCCACUCUGCUUACCCCGACAGUGCGUGGCCUUUCUCAGUAACACAGCAGCCAAAAGCCUGCAAAGUUUUCUUCUGUGCCCAGAAGAUGAAAGGUAACACCAGAACCUGACGCUGGCUAGAAACCUCAGACAUUUCGGAUAUACAUCCAGACCCAAACUUUGGCAUCUGUGCAGUUCUACGUGCUCAUUCGUAAAAGAGAGCAGCAAACGAGCAGCCUACAGCCAGAAUCCACCACACUGCCACUGCAAAACCAUCCCAUGAAAACUACACAGAAUACAAGGUGAUUGUAUGCAUGAAAAAUAACGGGUCUGAAACCACCCCUUGUAGGGUUUCCCACAGCUGGAGGUAACCCGUCACGGAGUAUUAAGAACAGAAGUGUUAAUAUUAGUAAUUUAAGAAAAGAGAGGCUGAGAAUACAGGUGGCGUUUUAAAGUCUUUGUGCUCAUUGACAAGAAACCAUUCCAACAAACAUUUAGGUGUUUCUGAGCUACGUGCUGCUAACUGUAGGGGGCUUUUGUGACAAUUCUUCUAAGAAAGCUGACAACUGCUCAGACAACCCCCAACUAAACAUCCUGCUUGGGGAAACCUACAAUAAAACCACAGGGAAUUCCGACUCUGCCACUGAAUCGUAGCAAUGCCCAUACACUGGUAAACCUUGCCAUUAGCAUUGGUAACUUUGUCUUCACAAUUAGCUGCGAAGUGCCUACAUUAAUUUCUCCAAGGCUUAAGUGUGCAACAGGUUGGUAAAUUCCUCGUGCAUUCACAGCAAGAAUGGGCCUUAGCAUCAUUCUCCUAUCUGAGACAAACAACACAAGAACAGUGAUGGCAUUUUUCCCCUGACAGAUUGUUGAAGGGGAAGAAAAAAGAACCAGAAAGCUCCCUUUUAUCAUUUUCAGUGCAAAUUCCUUUUGAGCAGUGAGAGAUUUUUAACAGUACCUUCUACCUCAUCAGGUCUAGCGUCCCCUUUGAAGAAGACAAAUUACACCACAUAAUUACAACAGCUAAACAACAAAGAAUAAAAAAGGAUGUAAAUUACUUAGCAAAUCAAUUCCCUUAUGCCUCCUUUUAAAUAAUUCCUUUCACCAUGUGUGUACAUUUAAUGAGGGUUUUCAAUUUAUUUACAACCAUCAUGACUCUAGUCAUUAAAUCUAUGAUUUGUCAUGUAAAUGAAUUCAAUUCAAGGCCUAAACCAUCACGCAUCACAUUUGGGACAAGUGAGAGGAAUUGUUUAGUUAGCACCCUUGUAAACAGCAUCAGACUAAGCAAUUAAGAGUGGGCAGAUAAAUAAUUCCAAGUAUGCUCAGCAUCACCUCCCUCCUCCUCCCCUCGAUACGGGGAGGAACCAAUGCUGCAUAGAAUAAUACUGUAUAUUUAUGUAGCAAUUUCUCUCCAACCAUUUUUCACUUUUUUUCUGUAGUUUUUAGGAUUCUGUAAGGGUAGAGGAAUGUGGAAUUCAGCAAACUAGCCUAAGGUCAUCCAUUCAGUAGAAGUAACGCCAGAUACAGAGUUUUUGAGCUCAUUUUUCUUCUGUCCCAAGGAAAACCAAUACAAGAUGAAAGUUACUUGGGAGGAGAAUCCAGGGCCCUGACUCUCAGAGCCGAUUCUCUUCCAACCAUCAUUAUACAUUAAGCUUAAAGCGUGUAGCAAACCCAAACUUAGCAGACAGAGCCACUGCAGGAGCAGUAGGACCAAGUACUCUCCUCUUUCCAGGCCAUCUCAGGAGAAAGCCAGUCUCUUCCUACCAGCAGGAGAUUCUCUGCAAUCGGGACGGUCUCACCUACUGAUUUGUGGUUGAUUUUUGACUCCCCAGAGAUGAAAAAUAGUUCUGACAUGAUUAAAAGACCACUUUCCAAUGCUUCCUGCUUCACACAGCAGCAACCAGAUGCUUUCAGAUUUGAAGGAUCUUUACCCAAAGCUAGGUAAAUCUCCUAGAAAUUUCAAGAUACAGUAACCUGAAGAAAGAUGCAGGCAAAUAGUCUCCGUUACUCAGUCUGUUGAUAUCCAUUUCCACAUUUUAGGCAAUGAAUAGGCACUGUACAUUAUCUGAUCUAAAAUCAUACAUAAGGUUCAAAGUCAGAGAUCAAAUUCAAAGCACUUUGAGUGAUAGAUGAAGCUAGGAAAUACCACCAGGUAAUGUUGAGGACUCACAAAUAUAUUAAAAUACAAUUUGCGUGCUUAUACUUUUCAAAAUAUCCAAGUCAGACCAGAAACAAACACGCAUUUACUACCUUCAUAUCCUUCAGAGCAGGCAUACAUCAGAGCAACUAGAAUUCCAAUAUCCAUGAGGGUCUUAUUUAAUGAAAUACGAGGAACUUUCAUAUGGUAACACAAAAUGGAACAGUGCUCCUGUUUCAAACUCAUUUGUACCAAGCUGGCAAAAGGUGCAUUCACAUAAAAGACAAAUCUAUCUGCUACAAUAAGAUGCUGGACCAAUCUUUUAGUAGGAAUCUGAAAUCAAUGGAAUGGUAGAAAUUUAAGCCUGACUUCAAAACAUCUGUUCAAAAAAGAGUAAGAUUUUCAAAAGCAGUGCAGUUUGACCAAACUGAUCCUAAGUCAACGUAAGAGUUGCUAUCAAAUUUUAUGUAGGUAGUUAAAUCUGUAGUAAGUGCUGUUUGAAAUUUCCACCCCCCUAUAACAGUUCUUCGAUCACACACUUAGCUUGGGGUGUGGGGGGGAAAACACACUAGCAAAUGGAUAUACCAGAUUUUUAACUCACAAGAAUAUAGUCAGCAUACACUGUUACACAUAUUUCUUAGUACUGACCGUUAAUCGUUAAAAUUAACAUGACUGAAAUCAUGUAUGAGAGAAAAAUAGCUCCUUUCCUUUGAAGUGUGUUCACUUUGCACUUUCAAGACCCUUUAUUGCAUAAGGAAUCAGUUUUCUUGUUUUAUAGAGGUUUUUCACAUAGUAAAAGGACAGAAAAUUCCGUUAUUUAAAAUAAGAAAAUGUAAUAGGAAACUGCAGAAAUUGGCAAGAACAUAAACAUAGGAACAUGACACUACUUUUAGCUUGGAUCUUUAAACAGUCUAGAUUCCAAACUGCACCACCUCAAAAUCCCAAUCUCCCUGCUCAGAAAUCCACCAAAACCACUAGUAUCAGCUAGAAAUGUAAACAAUGCUUCAUCAGUAAUGUUACUGCCCAUUUGCAGAAUUUUCGCAUCAACUUUAGGGUGGAAAGGUUAAAAAACGAAUUGUAGUCCAUAUGGAGAUCUCUUUCUUGCUUACACUUAAACCUUGCAAUUCUGUUUCACAGCUAGUUUUAAUUUGGGUAAGUAGGAUGAUACUUCGCUUUUAAACUGUUAGUGUGGGGUCUUGGAUUAUGUCAGUCACUAUAAGUCUGAUUUUGCUAUGGGCAAGUCAAAACCUAAUAAGUUCUGUAACGUUAUUAGCACUGGCAGCCUUUUCUUCAGAAUGCCUCAAUUAAAUUAAAUUCAACAUUAGUACAAGGAAAAAAAAAUCAAGAAUAAUUAAGGAAAAUCUUGCAUGAAGCCUCAAUGAAAACUUAUUUUUUUUUAAACCUAGAACAGCAAAAAUAGCAUUAAUAUUUUAUUGUUAUUGUUUAUUACAAAUUCAUUGUCAAGCUAGUUUGCUUUCUCCUAAGAACUUAAACUGAUUAAGUGAAAACAAAGAGCCACAGCAAGGUACGCAUUGAAAUGGCAAGGGCAAAUGCUAAUCUGUAAUUCAAACAGGCACCAACUACCUCCACCUUUCUUCUUUCUUUAACUAUUAAACUCAUUUACCUUGGGACCCUAAGUGAGUAAACUUUGUAUUUUUUCAUUGUCUAAGAGUAAAUGCCCUCAACUACCAGAAGCAAAAUAGCCAGCUUACCACAACAUGAUGCCUGGACCUCUGCUCAGUUUUCCUGGUGGUUUUAAUUGUUUCAGUUUGGUUAAGAAAAGAGUACAUGGCUUCCCUUUCUGGUCUAAAGAACUAACCUAAUGCUGGCUGCAAAUAUCAGCGUAAUAUUGGAUCAAUGCACUGUAAAUACACCGGACAAUUAUUUUCUUUUCCCAAUCAUUAUAUUUUUUAAGCAUUGAUCUUCAACCUGAUAGUUAUAUGGAAUACCCAAAGCUGACAGUCAUUUACUUGAGGCAGGCCUGGGGAAGAGAGCAUUCAAGUCUGUAGUAAAAAUCCUACCAACCAUAACAAGCCUAAGUUCAGGAUGCGGUCUUACAUAUUGUAUUGCUCCCAAGUUGCAUCUUAUUUCCUAGCAAAACAGAAAUGCUGAAAGGAAUUGUACAUACUAUGUGCCAAUUAACGGAGUUGGCCUACAGACUGGAAUUGAGAAUGGUUAAAGAAACACCACCACUCCACAGGGGAUUUUCGAAACACAAAGCUACUCACACUAAACGUAUGUUAAAAUCAAUCCUGGAGGAAAAUACAUAUAUGCGUUCCAAGGAAAGCUAGUUACUGAUCAACCUCUAUGGGCUGAGCUGCCAAAUAAGAUAAACCCUAAGGUAAGCAAAUGUACUGGAAUUUGUCUGUUAGCUUAAACACAAGAAUUUUGCCUCAGUUGUUUCAGACGGGGAGUGAUGGGAGAAACACUCGGGUGGUCUGCAGAAGGGAGUACCUCGAGCAGAUGGGGCACUGGCAUGCCAACAGCAUGGAUAGGUCUGUGGAGAAUUUCCCUUCUCAGUAGGGAAAUGCUGAGGAAAAGGGCCGCUGAUGAAAAGAUUUUAUUUUUUUUAAAACCUACAAUACUAUAUUCUUUACUGCUUAGAAACUGUACAUACACCCAUGUGAAACAAAGUGCCUGUGACUUUACACAUGCUAUAAAGUAGGACUGAAGGGAUCCGUUUACACAGGAUAUUGUUUCCCAUGUAAAAACCUUAGCAGAUGUUUGGUAAAUGUUUGAUAUAAUGUCAUACAUUAAACUUACAUUUGCCAGAAAAUCUCAAUUUUUAUUUAUUUAUUUUAAUCCUGGAUAGUCAAGGAGCAUGAGACUUUACCUACCCCCUGAAGUCAGGGAAGGCCUCAGCUAUAUUGACAAAGGGAACUUAGCUUGCUCAGGAUAUCUCACUGUAAUUGCUCAGCUUUUUUUGUAAGGUAAAGAAAUUAUUUAAUGUCUUUAAUGUUUAGAAAGAAAGAAAAGAAAAAAAUAAAUAAUAAUAAUUUGGGGGCAGAUAUCCUUGACACAAUAUCGAAGUGUCUGACACUGUGGUGAAACAUUGGCCUGCUGAAGAUGGCGGCUGAGGUGAAACACUGGCCCGCUGAAGUUAACAGCAGUUCAACUACUGAAUUCGUAUUUUCCCCCAGGAUUGAUAUUUCUACCCCUUUCUAACAAUCUUACCACACUAUUUGAUUAAGAAGGAAAGUUAAUACACAAACAGGCAUCCAUACAUGAGGUAGUGAACAUAACACCCUUCUGACGAGUGCUUGCGGCAGCAACCGUAGCGGGCCCAUCCACUGCGACUAAAACAAACAAACUGGUUCACGCCCUCAGCACACACAUGCAUUCACACUACCUUGGUUUUAAGAUGAUAAACAAGGUGGUUGUUGGUCAGCUUUUACUGUACCUGUCCCUUGAGUAUUCAAGAGAAUGUGAAUGCAGGGGAAAAAAAUACAUUUUUCUGAGGUGAGGAACAAAGGCAGACCAAUAAACAAAAGAAACACAGUACGUACAUCUCAUCGGUGUAUCAGCAGUCCUAGCAAACCAAGUCAUGACCAGUUCAGCUAUUUCUAGGCCUUUCUCUUCCAUGUGUAUCCUGAUAUAUUUUGUACGAAGUGCAGCCUUGCUGUGCCCAGCCCUUGCUGCACCAGACGCAGCACAGCAGGACAGGGCAACAACUGGCGAUGGGCAUCGUGCACCCUCCCCACCACGAGAGGGCUUUAGGAAAAACUUAGAUAAAUACCUGCAGGGAAUAAUAAAGGGUUUAUCCUGCCUUACAGGAUGGGAAUAGAGUAAAUGAUCUUUCUAGAUUCUUUCCGCUAUUUUUCUAUGAGAAGGAAAAUGUGGUUUAUGCACUGACUAUAUUCUCUUUCAAAAUUGCAUCAUCUUCUGGAAAACAGGAUCCACUUCUACCAGAGAAAUAAGAAAAUGGCAAACCAGGGGAUGAAUAAAGCCUGAUUUUAGAAGUAUUUAAAAUAAACUCAUAAAAAAAAAAAUCUCAUAUUUUUAGUACUUUCUAUGUUAACAUGAACUUUCCAUUUCUCUUUCUUGCAAGCAGCAAGGAAAAAAACUGUGCCACCAUUGACCAAAUUAAGGAUGGUUAACAGAAGAGGGAACAGCAACGGCAGAAGGAAGUAAUAGAGAAAAGGGAGCAAGAAAGGAAUAAGUAUUUGUGUAGGUCAACAAUAUAAGACUUGAAUUUAUGAAUCAUAAUCGCACAAAGCUAAAACAAGAAAAAAAAAUGUCUAACAGAGCUAUAACUCUAGUGCUGUGGGUAUUGAUGUCACUAUUAGAAUUAUACGGGCAGGACAACACUUUGUAAAUGUGAGUACAGUUGCCUGGUUACUUACACUAGGUUCAAAUACAGAAUGCAAAACAGAUUUAUUAAAGAGAAAGGUUCAUUCUG